rnacentral:rRNA from 1 species
UACGUAGGGUGCAAGCGUUGUCCGGAAUUAUUGGGCGUAAAGAGCUUGUAGGCGGUUUGUCGCGUCUGCUGUGAAAUUUCGGGGCUCAACCCCGAACUUGCAGUGGGUACGGGCAGACUAGAGUGUGGUAGGGGGAGACUGGAAUUCCUGGUGUAGCGGUGAAAUGCGCAGAUAUCAGGAGGAACACCGGUGGCGAAGGCGGGUCUCUGGGCCGAUACUGACGCUGAGGAGCGAAAAGCGUGGGGGAGCGAACAGG